CCCGUGUCAUCCUCGCUGUCACCCGCGUCCCCAACGGCCCCCGCCCGGUUGGUGUUGACGAAGAGCUCCCCGUCCCCGGGGGGGGGGUGGCUGCCUCGGGGACACGGGGGGGAGUCACACGGGUGACACGGGACACGGUGAGGUCACAUGGUGACAUGGGGGUCACAGUGACAUGGGGGGUCACAGGGUGACAUGGGGGUUACAUGGUGACAUGGGACACGGUGAGGUCACACGGUGACACAAGGGGGUCACACAAUGACACAGGGAUGAUGCAGUGACACAGGAUGUGGUGAGGUCACACAAUGACACGGGGGGUCACACGGUGACACGGGACGCGGUGAGAUCACGCAGUGAC